GAGCUGUACCUCCUAGUAAGCUGCCCUGGAGGUUCCUGAAGGAAGAGAAAAAUAGAAGAAAAUGUCACAAUGAGAGACUCUCUUUACACAAAAGAAAAGUAUAAAACAAACUGGACCAGCAUAGCAUGUAACAGGACACAGCUCUAAGAACAAGCUUCAGGCUAGGCACUGAGCUCUUGCUGCACUGAAAUUCCUGGAAGCAUCCUGAACCACCUACUGGUAUCUGUGAGGAUUGUGCUGAAAAUAUUUAACUAAAAUUUAGUGUCUUUGGACAACUGAAAAUCAACCUGCCUCAAAUUUGGAGCUUGAAAUGAGUGUGUGCCAAUGUAACUGACCAUAAUAUGAACUCCACAAACACUCAUUUUGAUCUAACAAAAGCUGAAAAGUAAAUUCUCCAAGAACAGCAUGGGCCACAGUUUCCCACAGUGCCUUCUCCACUAAUGACAGACACCAAUGUGAGCACGUUUCUUUCCCCCG
rnacentral:lncRNA from 1 species